rnacentral:rRNA from 1 species
UACAGAGGGGGCAAGCGUUAUUCGGAAUUAUUGGGCGUGAAGGGCGCGUAGGCGGCUUGGCAAGUGGAUGGUGAAAUCCCUCGGCUUAACCGAGGAACUCGCCGUCCAAACUGCUUCGCUUGAGACCGGGAGAGGUGAGGUGGAAUUCCCAGUGUAGCGGUGAAAUGCGUAGAUAUUGGGAGGAACACCAGUGGCGAAGGCGGCUCACUGGACCGGCUACGUGACGCUGAUGCGCGAAAGCGUGGGGAGCAAACGGGG